rnacentral:rRNA from 1 species
GCCUAACACAUGCAAGUCGAGCGGUAGCACAGAGAGCUUGCUCUCGGGUGACGAGCGGCGGACGGGUGAGUAAUGUCUGGGAAACUGCCUGAUGGAGGGGGAUAACUACUGGAAACGGUAGCUAAUACCGCAUAACGUCGCAAGACCAAAGUGGGGGACCUUCGGGCCUCAUGCCAUCAGAUGUGCCCAGAUGGGAUUAGCUAGUAGGUGGGGUAAUGGCUCACCUAGGCGACGAUCCCUAGCUGGUCUGAGAGGAUGACCAGCCACACUGGAACUGAGACACGGUCCAGACUCCUACGGGAGGCAGCAGUGGGGAAUAUUGCACAAUGGGCGCAAGCCUGAUGCAGCCAUGCCGCGUGUAUGAAGAAGGCCUUCGGGUUGUAAAGUACUUUCAGCGAGGAGGAAGGCGUUAAGGUUAAUAACCUUGGCGAUUGACGUUACUCGCAGAAGAAGCACCGGCUAACUCCGUGCCAGCAGCCGCGGUAAUACGGAGGGUGCAAGCGUUAAUCGGAAUUACUGGGCGUAAAGCGCACGCAGGCGGUCUGUCAAGUCGGAUGUGAAAUCCCCGGGCUCAACCUGGGAACUGCAUUCGAAACUGGCAGGCUAGAGUCUUGUAGAGGGGGGUAGAAUUCCAGGUGUAGCGGUGAAAUGCGUAGAGAUCUGGAGGAAUACCGGUGGCGAAGGCGGCCCCCUGGACAAAGACUGACGCUCAGGGG